GGGCAUGUGGCACAGUGGUAGCGCGCACGCUUUGCAUGCGUGAGGCCCUGGGUUCAAUCCCCAGCUUGUCCA
rnacentral:tRNA from 1 species